rnacentral:rRNA from 1 species
AGUGAACGCUGGCGGUAGGCCUAACACAUGCAAGUCGAACGGCAGCACAGUAAGAGCUUGCUCUUACGGGUGGCGAGUGGCGGACGGGUGAGGAAUACAUCGGAAUCUACUUUUUCGUGGGGGAUAACGUAGGGAAACUUACGCUAAUACCGCAUACGACCUACGGGUGAAAGCAGGGGAUCUUCGGACCUUGCGCGAUUGAAUGAGCCGAUGUCGGAUUAGCUAGUUGGCGGGGUAAAGGCCCACCAAGGCGACGAUCCGUAGCUGGUCUGAGAGGAUGAUCAGCCACACUGGAACUGGGACACGGUCCAGACUCCUACGGGAGGCAGCAGUGGGGAAUAUUGGACAAAGGGCGCAAGCCUGAUCCAGCCAUACCGCGUGGGUGAAGAAGGCCUUCGGGUUGUAAAGCCCUUUUGUUGGGAAAGAAAAGCAGCAGGUUAAUACCCCGCUGUUCUGACAGUACCCAAAGAAUAAGCACCGGCUAACUUCGUG